CAGGAGUCACAUGAGAGAAGUAACCCCUUCUCAGUGUAGUCAGUCUUCAUUCUGAACUUAAGCACUUUAUCAUUCUUCACAAUCUUCCCCCAAAUGACAAGACUCCCAGUGAGUUCAGGGUAUUUUUCAGAAAAUAUGGAACCAACUUCAAAAACGAUGAGUGUUGCUGAGGACCUUUAAAGGAACGUCCCCAGGCCCAAGAGAUGUGCUGUCCAUGAGGCUACUAGGAAGUAUUAAAGUGCACAUGUGACUCACAUUGUAUUUCUAGACAACACUGCUCCAAAGGGCAUUUCCAGACAAGACUGAUUAUGUUUUGAGCAACAGCAGCUUUGUUGGAAUAAAUAUUUAGCCUCCUGGAAGAACUUCUUAAAAAAAUGUUCCUUUGGAUACAUAAGCCAAAAGGUGGUGUCAGAAGUGUUUCCAGAACACAGAAGUUGCUGAACCUUAGAGAACGUCACCUUGGAUAGUAGCUUUGAAAUAGGGUUGUGAUCCUUCCCCUACAGAUUCCACUAACAUUCAACUCUAACUACUACAUGUAAGACACUUUAAUGCUUCAUUCAAAUCAUCAAAACAAUUUUCGAGAGAGGCAUGAUGAAUCUUAUUUUAUGGAUGAGAAAACUGAGGUUUAAUGAGAAUGAGCUCUGCUGUGGAACUCAUAAGAGACGGAGCUAAGGGUAUGAGUCCAAGAACAAUCUGCUUUCCACAACAUGGCUAUUCCUUCAACUAUAUCAGAGUUCUUCCAAGAUUUAGGGAGAUCAUGUAAGAUACAAAAAUGCUAAAUCUGUGCCCAUAAUUGCUGUUAUUCGGACCAAACUCCCACCCUCCCCAUGCUUAACAGGCCCACGGAUGUGUAAAGAUUUGUUGUUUAUGCUCCACUGUAAAUGGAGCGCUCUCCCAGCCACGGCUCCUGGCUGUCCCAGCCAGGGCUCCUGACUCUCCCAGGGCACUCUCCAUCACACCAGAAGGCUUCCUCCUAAUGUAAGAAGAAACAGGCAGGCAAAUGAAACAAACCACAAAACCCAACCCCAUUUCUUUUUCCUAGCCCCGUGGUACAAAUGCACGGAAAUGAGAUCCCACCUGCAGACAGCAGUAGGCAAGAAGUGAGAAUCCUUCUGAUUGAGCAUUUGCAUCGUGUAAAUCCAAGUUAAGUUGUGUGGGUGAACUCAUCGCAUUCUCUUGCAAUGGGCUGCCUGGGUAGAGACUCAGAGAAGAGCACUAAACUGGGAGUCAUAGCAUCAUCAUCAUCAUCAUCAUCAUCAUCGUCAUCAACAACAUGGAUGCUCUCUUAAGCCCAUAAAAUAUGGCCAGCAUUGUGACCUGUAGUUGACUGUAAUCCCUUUGCUCUCCUCAAUAGAAUAGGAUCAAUUCUAUUCAUCCUUCACCUUCUUUGACUCCCAUUCUCAGGCUGCAAAGUGCAGCUCCCCUUUGCCUUCCAACAGUACUCACUGCAUUAUAAUUGUGAUUAUGUGGUGAGGCUACAGGUUACUGUAGGUCAGAGUGGGUCUUAAUCACCCGUGUAUCCUGGCACUGAAGGCAGGGUCUGAAACACAAAGCACCAAGCCCUGUAAGGAUAUUUAUUAGUUGACGUGACCUCAAGGUCAGGUGAUGCCAUGGGCAGGGUUGACUGGAUUCAGUAGCUGGACUUCUUCCUGGGUCUCCUGACAUCCAGGCUUGGCUUCUCACCAACUGAUGAGGCCUGACCCUCUGCUUCUGGGUGUAGAAGUGUGAUUAUUUGGGCCCUUGGCAGUGCCAGGCUAGGCCCUUUGCUUCCUUCAGGAUGUGAACCUUAGUAGGUUAGCUAGUCACACCUGCACUUCAUGUGAUGUCAAGCAAAUAGCUAUGAAAGAACAAGAACAGUUUUCUAGAUCAUCAGGGAUUUAUGAAAAGGUGCCUGCCUAAUCUUGGUACACUUCCUGAUUGUGGUUUCAGCAAUGUGGAGAGUUCAAUUAUUUCUAAGUGACCAAAAAAGCAGAACCACAGACUCUAUUGGCCAUCCUAACUCACACCUUAUCUCUACUAUUCUCUACCUUUCUCCCUCCUAGAAUCAUUAUUUACUCUGUGUUUUUGCACCCAAGAGCAUAGACGGUGCUUGGGACAGUGAAAUUGGGUAAGGCUGUGUACAUUCAAUUUGCUCCUGAUCCUCUUCCACUCCUUUUUCUCCAUCUUUCAAAACCCAGUUUAGCACCUCACACCCAUUAGGAUGGCAAAUACAUAAAUAAAAUAAGUGUUGGUGAAGAUGUGGAGAAAUUGGAAUCGUUGUGCAUUACUUGUGGGAUUGUAAAAUGGUACCGUUGCCAUAGGAAACAGCAUGGCCGUCCCUUAAAAAAUUAAACAUAGAAUUGUAUGCUUUGUAUGAUCCAAUAGUUCUGCUUCUUCUGAGCAUAUACAGUAAAGAAUUGAAAGUAGGA
rnacentral:lncRNA from 10 species